UGGACAGUAUCUUUUUGAACUGUACCUAUAAUUUGUUUACUACUAAAAAACAGUCUGCCUUGAUCUUUUAAGACAAGGACGGAAGA
rfam:Lysinibacillus massiliensis 4400831 = CIP 108448 = CCTG 49529 contig19, whole genome shotgun sequence.